UUACAGCCUCAUCACCACCAUCUGCUCUGAUGACGUGAGGACAACUACCAGCCUGCCCUCCAUCCCUGUCUACAGCAGUCUCAGCUCUCUUAAGACAUGAUUAUUGGUCUGCAAAACUCCUUAUUCCUGGAAUUAGGGUCCUUCCCUACCAGCCCCUCCCUGAAAGGAGGAUUAUCUUUCCUUCCCCACUGAUGUUACAUUUGGCCACACGACUUGCUUUGUACAGAGAAAUAUGAGUGGAAGUCGUGUGUUCCACUUCUCAGCAGAAGACUUAGGAGCCAUCCUAUGGUUCAGCCAUCUCUGUUUUAACUGUUCCAUGAGACUGUCAUGAACCAGACAAGAAAAAGAGGUAUUUAUUCCUUCAGUGUUCGUCUUAGAUGUUCAAGCUGAGCCACAGCUUGCAUACAACUGACCCAUGAUAGACACAAACAUGAACACAAAAUUUUAAAGUUUUGGGGGGAGUGAUCAAGAUGGUAGAGUAGUAGGACAUGAUGCUUACUUCCUCCCACAAAUACAUCAAAAAUACAUCUACAUGUGGAACAAUUCUCAUAGAAUAUCUACUGAAUGGUGGCAGAAGACCUCAGACCUCUGAAAGGGCAAGAAAAUCUCCAUGCAACUGGGUAGAACAAAAGGAAAAAGAAAAGAAAAAAAAAGAAACAGGACAAAGGACUUAGGAUAGGACCUGCAUCCAUGGGAGGAAGCUGUGAAAGAGGAAAAGUUCCUGCAUCCUGGGAAGUCCCCUCACCAGCAGAGAGAACAGCUGGGACAGAGGGGAAGUUUGGGAGCCUCGGUGGAGAAUACAGCAACUGGUUUGAAGCAGCUAGAACGGAGGAAGACCUGCACAGAAGGUCAGUGCCACUGCUCUGCACUCCCCAGCCUGAGACACACGUCUACCGGUACAGGCGGGAGCUGGGUGCAGAAGCUCAGGCUUUGGAGAUCAGACGCGGGGAGAAGACUGGUGUGGGCUCCAUGGAAACAGCCUGAAGGGGCUGGAAUCUGGUGCACCUGUGCCUGAGGGUGUACACAGAGGAAGCCUGGGCCACCUUAGAGGCCAGGCUCCAUUGUGUGAGCAGUGCACAAGGAGAGGGGCGGGGCAGGACCCGCUUUUACAGCCUUUUUCCCUCAGCGAGCUCUCAGGCUGCAGAAUACCACUGACACAAGCUCCAGGAAUGGUCCCGCACCACCGCCCCUGCCCACUGGGCUUCAGGAGCCACUGUGAGCCACCCAGGAGCGGUUGCAAGCUGCUGUCACUGCCCCCCACCCCCCCAGACUACAGGAGCAGUCUCAAGCCACCACCACUCCCAUCACAUGCUCUGGGGGUGCAUGUAAGCUGCCACCACUGCCGAGAACCCCAGGACCAGCCACUGCAUCUGCACACCCUCUAUCAAGGGGAUAACAGCCAGCACAUGCUGAGGUAAGAGGCAACAGGCAUCCAUACUAAAAAGAUCCUUCACACCAAAACUAUUAAGCCCACAUAAGCUACACAGGGAUGCUUCCACAUAUAAAUAGACCUCCAAGACCACAGUAGAUAAUUGCUUCUCCUAAGCGCACAGAAUAAGAGAAAUAUAAGUAAAAUGAAAUAGCAGAGGAACAAUUCCCGGUUAAAAGACCAACAGAAUUCCCCUGGAAGAACAAACAAUGAAACAGACCUCUGCAGUCUAACAGACACCAAUUUCAAAAAGGAGAUAAUGAAAAUAUUGAAUGAAUUAUGAAAGGCUGUCAGCAGAACAGCAGAGUACUGUAAAAAGGAACUAGAAACUGCAGAGGAACCAAGAAAAAUUAGAAAACUCAUUUGCCAAGAUGAAAACUGAACUAAAGGCAAUGAAUAGCAGAAUAAAUAUUGCAGAAUGAGUAAGUGACCUGGAAGAUAGAAUGAUGGACAUCACUUAAUCAGGACAGCAGACAGAAAGGAAAAUGAAAAAAAAAAAAAAAUGAAAGCAAUAUAAGAGACCUAUGGGGUAAUAAAAAGCAUGCCAAUCUACACAUAAUAGGGAUUCCUGCAGGGGAAGAAAGAGAAAAGGGGAUCAAAAAUGCAUUUGAAGAAAUUAUGGCUUAAAACUUCCCAAACCUAAAAAAGGAAGCAUAUCAAGGUACAGGAAGCACAGAGGGUCCCGGACAAUGUAAACCCAAACAGACCUACACCAAAAAAUAAUAUAAUAAAAAUAGCAAAAGUUAAAGACAGGAUUCUAAAGGCAGCAAGAGAAAAAGAAAGAGUUAAUUACAAGGGGACUCCCCCAUAGGCUAUCAGCUGAUUUCUGUACAGAAACAAUGCAGGCCAGAAGGGAGUGGCAAGAUAUAUUCAAGUCCUGAAAGGGAAAAAUCUUCAGCCUAGGAUACUCUACCCAGCAAGAUUAUCAUUUACAAUAAUAUAAGGAGAGAGGGAGAAUUUCUCAGACAAGCAAAAACUAAAAUACAGCAAUACAAAACCUGCCCUAAAGGCAAUAGUGAAGGGUCUUCUCUAAAUAGAAAAGAAUAUAUAGGAAAGAGAAAAUCACAAUGGUCAAGCAAAUCACCUAAAUAAGGCAGUACAAAUGAAAUUUCUGUCAAAGUGAUAACCACAACAAACAGCAAAAGAAUGAACAUGAAGAUGUAAAAGAGGACAUCAAAAUCAUAAAAUGUGGGGGAGGAGAAUAACAAAAUGUAGAUUUUUUUUCAUUUCCUAGAAUGUGUAUGAGGCUGUAUGACUACCAGUCUAAGGCAAGGAGAUAUAGGAUGGGGUUAACAUACUUGAAAAACAGGAUAACUACAUAUCAAAAACAUAGAAUAGAUUCACAAAAACCAAGAAGAAGAGGACAUAACUGUAAUACAAGAGAAAAUCAUCAAACCACAAAAGGAAAAACAAAAAGGGACAAAGAAGAAAUAUAAAAUGGGAAAACAAGGUUAAAAUGGCAAUAAAUACUACUAUCUAUCAUGAAACAGGAGGGAAGUGGGGGCAGGGUACAACCUUUAAAAGAAUGACAUAGGACAAGACAAACUGUUUAGAACCAAAUAGGUCCAAGAUGGCAGACUUCCACUAGAGUCAACUUCCACUAGACCUUGAGCCUCAGUAUACGCUCAUUGUAAUACAUCAGCAAGCUAAAUGACACGCCCACAGGUGCCAUGACUGUUCCAAGUCUGACCAUAAAGGUCAAAAAGUGGGUGGUGGCCCAGUUCCUGGAAAUCCCCACCCCUUCCCCAAAAUAGCUGGAAUAUUCUUCCCACUCAUUAGCCUAUGAAAUUAUCCACCCCUAUAAAAACUAACAACCCCAUACCCUGGGGCCACUCUUGCCUUCUGAGAUGGUCCACACUCUGUGGAGUGUGUUUCUCCCUAAAUAAUCUACUUCUUACCUAUCAAAAAAAAAAAUUACCUUAAAUGUCAGUGGACUAAAUGCUCCAAUCAAAAGACACAGAGUGGCAGACUGGAUUAAAAAACAAGAGCCUACAAUAUGCUGCCUACAAGAGACCCACUUUAGGGCAAAGGACACACAUAGAUUGAAAGUGAGGGGAUGGAAAAAGAUAUUUCAUGCAAAUGAAAAUGACAAGAAAGCAUUUGCCCUAAAGUGGGUCUCUUGUAGGCAGCAUAUUGUAGGCUCUUGUUUUUUAAUCCAGUCUGCCACUCUGAAAGCAAGGGCUGCAAUAGUCAUGUCAGACAAAAUAGACUUUAAAACAAAGGCCAUAAAGAUAAAGGAGGACACUAUAUAAUAAUAAAAGGUUGAAUAUAAGAGGAAGAUUUUACACUCAACAACAUAUAUGCACCUAAUAUAGGAGCUCCCAAAUACAUAAAACCAAUACUAACAGACAAAAUGGGAGAAAUUGACAGGAAUACAAUAAUAAUAGGAGACUUUAACACCCCACUCACAUCAAUGGACAGAUCUUCUGGACAGAAAAUCAGUAAGACAACAGAGAUCCUAAUAGAACAGUUAGACUUAAUUGCUAUUUUCAGAACAUUACAUACAAAAAGGAAGAAAAAAACCAAAACCAGAAUACACAUUGUUUUCAAGCGCACAUGGAACAUUAUCUAGGGUUGAUCACAUACGAGGGGGGCACAAAACAAGCCUCAACAAAUUUAACGGUACAGAAAUUAUCUCAAGCAUCUUUUCUGACCACAGUGUGAAACUAGAAAUCAACCACGGAAAAAGAAAUGAGAAAAGAAUGAUUACAUGGAGACUAAACAACAUGCUUCUAAAAAACAAAGGGUCAACAAAGAAAUCAAAGAGGAAAAUAAAAUAUACCUUGAGAGAAAUGACAAUGAAAACAAAACCAUACAAAAAUCUAUAGGAUGCAGCAAAAGCAGCUCUUAGAGGGAAGUUCAUAAUGAUACAGGCCUUCCUCAAAAAAAGAAAAAAAUCUCAAACAACCUAACCUACCACUUAAAUUAUAGGGGGGUGCUGGGAAGAUGGCGGAAGAGUAAGACACAGAGAUCACCUUCCUCCCCACAGAUACACCAGAAAUACAUCUACAUGUGGAACAACUCCUACAGAACACCUACUGAAUGCUGGCAGAAGACCUCAGACCUCCCAAAAGGCAAGAAACUCCCCAUGUACCUGGGUAGGGCAAAAGAAAAAACAGAGACAAAAGAAUGGGGACAGCACCUGCACCAGUGGGAGGGAGCUGUGAAGGAGGAAAGGUUUCCACACACUAGGAAGCCCCUUCGCGGGUGGAGACUGUGGGAGGUGGAGCUUUGGAGCUGUGGAAGAGAGCACAGCAACGGGAGUGCAGAGGGCAAAGCGGGGAGAUUCCCGCACAGAGGAUUGGUGCAGACUGGCACCCACCAGCCCGAGAGGCUUGUCUGCUCACCCACCAGGGCGGUGAGCUGAGGCCCGUGCUCACAGGCGGAGCUGCGAGCUGAGGCCCGUGCUUUGGUCGGAGCGCAGGGAGAGGACUGGGGUUGGCUGCGUGAACACAGCCUGAAGGGAUUAGUGCACCACGGCUAGCCGGGAGGGAGUCCGGGAAAAGGUCUGGAGCUGCCAAAAAGGCAAGCGACUUUUUCUUCCCUCUUUGUUUCCUGGUGCGCGAGGAGAGGGGUUUAAGAACUCUGCUUAAAGGAGCUCCAGAGACGGGUGCGAGCCGCGGCUAUCACCGUGGACCCAGAGAUGGGCACGAGCCGCGGCUAGAAGUGCGAACCCCAGAGACGGGCGUGAGCUGCGGCUAAAAGCGUGAACCCCAGGGAUGGGCGCGAGCCACGGCUAAAAGCUCGAACCCCAGGGACGGGCGCGAGCCGUGGCUAAAAGCACGGACCCCAGAGACAGGCGGGAGACGCUAAGGCUACU